CUCCCCUCUCGCUUUCUCCCUUAUUCGGGAGAGAGAGAGAGAGAGAGAUCCAGUGGUAUGUCGAAUUGCCGAGUGAACGAGGAGUUUUUGGGAAGUCCAGGUCCAGGAGUAUGAACAAGCGUCACAAGCUGGGAUCUUCCUAGGGUGCAGUGGAUGACCGUGAUGUCUUCUGUGCCUUGUCAUGUCCUUCGCUCUACGUGGGCCGUUGCAGUACCGCUUUCCUGGCUGUUGGAACUCACUGCAGAUCUCAUCCGCCUACUCUGCCGGAACUGACCGCAUGCUGGGACGGGCGCGUCCCUAUCUCACCUGGCAUGCCAUAUUGGUGCCGGAAGCAGGGCGAAACUUGUGGGCUGCCUCCCAGCCAGCGCACGAUCUUUGGACUGUGUUGGUCGUUGAUGUGAAACGACAUGUAUUCCGCUGUACAUGUGAAAAAUAAAGGGAAUCUCUGAAGAUCGCGAGAAUCUCUAGCUCAGGGAUUGCGUUCUGGCUUCCAGCUCCCCUCUUGGUGAGAAAAUUCCUCUCUGGAUCCUUUUCAAGCUUCUUGAUCCUUACCCUGAGCCUCUGACCUCCUCUGCUGUGUCGUUUGGGAAAAAUUUAUUAUUUAUUUAUUUAACGAUCCGGCACAGAACAGGCCCUUCCAGCCCAACGAGCUGCACCGCCCAGCCACCCAGAUAUUUAAUCCUAUUCUAAUCACAGGACAAUUUACAAUGACCAAGUACCCUACUCCUCCAAGAGGACCACAAGGGGUUUGAGGCUUGCGUGCCUCAAUGACCCGGAGAGCUAUGCUGGCUGGACUCAGGACCUUGUGCUUUGGCUCUUGGUUGUGUUCUGUACGGGGUUGGGGUGUUAGUAGUCAUCUUGACGUUCAUUUUUGUGCAGAGGGUGGGUCCGAUGUUUUUCUACGAACGACUUCCAUGGUUUUCUUCGUUUCAUGGCUAUCUGGAGAAGAUGAAUCUCAGGGUUGUAUAUUCUGAAGACAUGCCUUGACAAUAAAUGAAUCUCAGAGCCUUUGAAGACAGGAGAUCAGGGAGAUCUGGUAUUCAGGCCGAUGUUCAUUCCUCAACAGCAUAAUGAUCCAUUUCAUAGUCCCUUUCUACUUUUGGGCGAUUUUUGAACCAGGCGGCCUGCAGGUAGAAAACACUGAGCUGAACUGUACUGAAAUAUGCCUUUUGAUUUUGGGUUUUGUAUUCUGCGUUUUCACUCUUUUUUUUUGCUGGUAUUUGCGUGUGAGGGGAGGGGCAUUGAAGUUUGACGUUUUUCUAUGAAUGUGUUGGUUCCGUGGUGUCUCUUUGUUCUGUGGCAGUUUGUGGAGACGAGGAAUGGCAGGUUUGUACACUGCAUUCACACUUUGAUAAUAAAUCUACUUUGAAUCUUGAAUCUUUAAUAUAGAAUAGAACUUUUUUGGCAUUGCUCAAGAUGACGAGGUUGUGGUGCUCCUCCAGUCCUUGCAAAAUAGAUAUCUACAAUGCAUGCAGUACAGCUUAAUUUUUAAAAUUCCCAUAUUUACAAGCAACAAGUGUCUUUGAGAGUCCGUAACAAGAGUCUUUGAGGGGAUUGGCAUCAAAGGCAAUUGGCAAGUCCAGUCAGGGGAUUGGCAUCAAAGGCGAUUGGCAUUAUUCAGCUGCACAGCAGCCCUCAGGAAGGAGCUGUUUCUUGGCUAAGAUGUUUCUAUACCAGAUGGCAGGGGAUUGAACAGAUAGUGCCUGGGUUGGGGUGGGUCUUUUAUGAUGUUACAAGCCGCCAUAGGCAUUGAGAGUUGUUGUAGAUAGUCUCUGAGUCCAGUAUUUGAGUCUCAACGACGUGCUGAGCCGUCCUGAUCUCCCGUUGGAGUGCUUUGUGAUCUGUCUUGCUGCAGCUAGAGUCCCACACCGUCAUUCCCUACGUCAGGAUGCUCUCUGUCACACAUCGCUGAAAGGUGGCCAGCAAUUUUUAGGGUAGGUCAGAUCUCCUUAAGCGCCUCAGGUGUUAUGGUCACCGCUGUGUCUCCCUGCUGUCCAGGUUGUUCACCUCCAAAAACUGGAAACCCUUUCCACUUUUUCCACACAGAAGAUCAAAGCUUGAGUCAGCUUGUUCAGAGGCUGGAGGCAGGAUGUCUGUCAGUCUGCAAGUCCACUAGUCUACUGGAAGCUGGAGGCCCGGAGACGGCCUGACCUGGGGUUGGAGGCCUCUCUUUGUACGAGUGGGGGGCAUUGGGGGGUGGUAAGGGUAUCGUUCUGUUGCUUUGUUUAUUGUGUUAUUGUUGUUGUUGUUGCUUGUGUUGUACCAAACACUGUGUAUAUGCUAUGCUGCCGCCAUAGCGUGCCCGCUGCCCCCAGCACAUCUUCAGGUUGUGUUGGCUGUUAACACAAGUAACACAUUUCGUUGUAUACUUCGAUGAUACGUAAAUGAUUUUGAAUAAAGGAGGCCAUCCGGCCCAUCAAUCUUCACCUACAGGAAAGAAGUAAAUAAGGUUGAAAGAGUACUGAGAAAAUUUACAAGGAUAUUUCCAGAACUUGACCCUAAUAAUAAGAAUAGCCCUUAACUUGGCAGUGGAGUGAUCGGGGCACCGUCAUGACGGUGUUUCCGUAGCGAGCUAUUCUUGUUUUUACAAGGCUGAGUUGCUCGCUCGACGCUCAACCCAAUUUGGAUUUGAACUCGGGAACCUUUGCUCCGGAGUACGGCACUGAUAUUAUUGCACCACCAAGCGGGACCGACCCUUAUAAGGAAAGAUUGAAUAAGGUAGUGUUCUUGGAUUCAAUGUCCAUUCAUAAAUUGGAUGGCGGAGGGGAAGAAGCUGUUCCUGAAUCAUUGACUGUGUGCCUUCAGGCUCCUGUACCUCCUCCCUGAUGAUCGCAAUGAGAAGAGGGCACGUCUUGGGUGAUGGGGGUCCCUAAUGAUGGAUGUCACCUUUUUGAGGUUUUGCUCCCUGAAGAUGUCCUGGAUACUACGGAGGCAAAAGUCCAAGAUGGAGGUCACUGGGUUUACAACUGUCUACAACUUAUUUCGAUCCUGUGCCAUGACCCCACCACUCCUUUUCAGAGAGUGAUGCAGCCAGUCAGAAUACUCUCCACAUCUGUAGAAGUUCGUGAGUGUAUUGGUGACGCAGUAAAUCUUCUCAAACUCCAGAUGGAAUAUAGUCGCUGUUGUGUCUGCUUUGUAGAUGCAUCGACAUUUUGGCCCAGGAUAGAUCCUCAGAGAUGAUGACACCCAGGAAUUUGAAAUUGCUCACUCUUUACCCGAUGGGGACUGGAGUAUGGGCGUAGGGUUUUGCAACAAUACUUUGGACUCUUCAUAUAUAAAAGUCCACGUAAUUGUCACAAAUGGGGUGUGAUGGGGAGGAGAGACCCCAGUGAGAUGUCAAUGUCUAUGUGACACUCACAGAUGAGCCUGGCUCAUGAAAGGAGCGAUAAAACCCGACAAACUUUUCUUUGUGUUUAAAGUCUGUUGCUUUCAGGACUUUUCUAUCUCCUAAGCAAGAAGACAAGGCUGGCCUCUGUCAUGCAAUCAUGAAGAGAAACACACCAGUGGCUCCGCUUCAUUGGGAGUUUGAGGAGGUUAGGUAUGUCACCAAACACAGAUUCAAAGUACAUUUAUUAUCAAAGAAUGGACAAAUUAUACAACCUUGAGAUUUGUCGAGGCCCACCCUCAAUGCGCAGAGGAAGAGAGAAAAAAACACAAAUCAAGGGAACAAUAGAAGCCAGCAACAGCAUUCUGAACUAAACUGAGUCCAGAGAUCCGAUUCCCCAGAGGAGCCCGUAGUAGGCCGAAGCCUCAGUCUUGGUUAAUUAGUGGGGCCAAUCACCGCAAAGCUCGCAGGCACAAGGAACAGCAGCCAUGGCAGCCUCACAGUCUUAACACUGUGGAGAGAGGAGUGAACAUCGCAGGACAGCAAGUAAAAUUGGCCCGACACCCUGCCUUUCCAGUCUUUCUGGGCCCGUGUUUAAAUUGUCCAAACAAUGGAUCAUACCUCUCAUUAGGACCUGCGGUGAAAUGCUCUGGGCCCCAGCCACACUGCCCGGCGAUUCGUUCCAGGAUAGAUCUUGCUGCCCAGCCCGAAGCCGUUCUCGACCACUCCAAGUGGGAUUGGUGCUUAGAGCAAUCCAACCUUGCACCUGGGUUAGUUGGACGGGCACUGAAACUCCUCUGCCUCAACCCCUCCUCCCGGAUUCACUCACUCCAUCAGUGCCAAUUUUACAACGCACCAGCACAGCUCAUCCCUCGAACUCGCUUCGCUUUCCCUCACCUCUUCGUUGUUUGUGGUGAAAGUUUACCACAAUUUGCUUCAGGAAGAGUCUUAUUAUUAAUGUUUUUAGUCAAAUUUCUUCCCUUUCGAACUACCAGCGGGUGUUUGCUCGCUUCCAGUAGUGCCAUCUUAAACCAGAAGGAAGGCUCUGGCAAAUUUCUCCAGAUGUACCAUGGAGAGCUUUCUAACUAGUUGUUUCCCUGUCUGGCAUGGAGGGACCAAUGCAGAGAACUGGACAAAGCAAUACUGAGUUGUAGACUAUGCCUUUAAAUGAUCCCUUAUUGACACACAGAAAGAGUGGCUGCACUAGGUACAACAUUGUGCGAUAUCUAUGCAUGCCAUUUACAGGUCAAGAGAUGUUCAUCUAAUUCAGGGGCUAAGACCAUAGGACUAUAAGAUAUAGGAGCAGAAUGAGGCCAUUUGGCCCAUUGAGUCUGCUCCACGAUUUCGUCAUGGCUGAUCCAUUUUCCCUCCCAGACCCAAUCUCCUGCCUUCUCCCCAUAUCUCUUCAUGCCCUGACUAAUCAGGAAUCUAUAGACUUCUGCCUUAAGUACACCCAAUGACUUGAUCUCCACAACUGCUUGUGUCAACACAUUCUACAGACUCACCAUCCUCUGGCUAAAGAAAUUCCUUCUCACCCCCAUUCUAAAGAGAUGUCCCUCUACUCUGAGGCUGUGUCCUCUGGCCUAGACUCCCCCACCAUAGGAAACAUCUUCUCCACAUUUACUCUAUCGAGGCCUUCAGCAUUUAAUAGUUUUCAAUGAGGUCACCCCUCAUUCUUCUGAAUUCUAAGUAGUGAUGAGCGUGCUGUAAACGAUAUUUGUAACAACUGUGAUGUGAUAUGAAAACCUCUGUGAUUUCUAUUGGUGACAAGUCACAGUUACUUACAUUCGUAAUUGAAGGAAAUAUUACAUUUCAAUUAGAGGUUAGUGAAAAUAAAGACUUAAAGUUAACGGAUUUCCCUGGAAUGUAUCCAGAGAAUCAGAAUCAGGUUUAUUAUCACCGGUAUGUGAUGUGAAAUUUGUUAACGUAGCAGCAGCAGUUCAAUGCAAUACUUAACAAUGGAUGAAUGAAUAAAUAAGUUAUAGUAUACGUAUAUUGAAAAAUGUGCAAAAACAGAAAUGACAACUAUUAAAAAAAAGUGAGGUGAUGUUCACAGGUUGAAUGUCUAAAUUGGAUGGCAGAGGGGAAGAAGCUGUUCCUGAAUCACUGAGUGUGUAUCUUCAGGCUCCUGUACCUCCCCCCUGAUGGCAGAGGGGAAGAAGCUGUUCCUGAAUCACUGAGUGUGUGUCUUCAGGCUCCUGUACCUCCCCCCUGAUGGAAGAGGGGAAGAAGCUGUUCCUGAAUCACUGAGUGUGUAUCUUCAGGCUCCUGUACCUCCUCCCCCAUGGUAGCAAUGAGAAGAGGGCAGACCUGGGUGCUGGAGGUCGUUAAUGAUGGACGCUGACUUUCUGAGACACCCCCAAGGGGUCAGUGGACCCCAGGUUAAGAACCCUUGAUCUAAUUGCUCAGGUCUCACUGCACGGCAGUAAAGUGGUUAGCACAACGAUUUUCAGUACAGGUGACGUGGGUUCAAUUCCUGCCACUGCCAGUUCUAUUUGUUUAACUGCCUCCCACUCUUGCUACUCUUGCGAGGUUAAAUGGUCAUUGUAGAUUGUCCUGUGAUUGCGGGGUAGUGUGGCUUGAGAGCCGGAAGUGCCUAUUCUGCACUGUAUCUCAAUAAACAAAUCCUUCCAGCUGUAGAUUGCAGUGAGGAAUGGCGAAUUUCACUGAGAGCUCCAUGCUCUUUUCUCCUAACUCAAAGGCGCUGUGUGAAAAGAAUUCGGAGAAUGUUUAAAAUUUUAAUUUGUCCUUGGGGUAUAGAGGAAGCUGGCAGCCCCACUCCGAGCUCUGGUCAUCAGUUCCCCUGAGGGAUUAGAAGUACUUCUUGCUUUGUGCUGACAUUGUUAUUCUGUUACGACUGAGUGGCUUAGUAGGCCAAAUCAGAGGACAUUAAACUCAAACUGUAAAGUUGAAUUAGAGCCAUGUGGGUGGACCAGGCUGUGUAGAAGAGCUUCAUACGUAUCCUGCUGCACAGUAGCGAAGCAGUCAGCACGACACUUCACAGUACCAGCAACCUGGGUUCGGUUCCCGUCAUUGCCUGUAAGACUUGACUGGAAAACCCAACACCAAGGCUGUUUACGGGGAGGGGAUGAGCAGACUCUACUUUCUAAGGAAGAUGAGAUCCUUCAAUGUGUGCAGCAGGACUUUGGAGAUCUUUUCCGGUCUGUUGUACUGUGUGCAGUCUUUGCGGCUCUGUGUUGGGGAGCAGCAUUGGUGCCGGUCAUCCUAAAGGACUAAUUAAACUCUUCAGAAAGGCUGGAUCUGUCCUUGGCUACAACCAGGACUCUUCUGAGUUAGUGGUGGAGAGUAGGUCAUUACGGACGAUCUGGCACGUUCUCUCCAUGACCUACUGAAUAAGCAGUGGAGCCCCCUUUCGAAGAGACUCACUCAGUUCCCCUAUCACAAGGAUCGUCACAGAAAAUCUUUCCGACAAGUGCAAUAAGCAAAUACAACAGUUCAUCUCUGUUCAACAGGAGAGCACACAUUAUAGUACGAUAGUCUGUUCUAUUAUUUCAUACAUUAUUAUUGUAAAUUAUUGCAUUGUUUCCUCAGCACUACCUACCCCUCCACCUAUCUUCAUAUCAUCUGCAAACUUUGCCACAAAACCAUCAAAUCCAUUAUCCAAAUCAUUGUCAAACAAUGUGAAAAGUAGUGGUCCCAAUACUGACCCCUGAGGAACACCACUAGUCACCGGCAGAAAAGGCCCUCUUUAUUUCCACUGGUUGCCUCCUGCCUGUCAGCCAUUCCACUAUCCAUGCCAGUAUCCUCCCUGUAACGCCAUAGGAUUUUAUCCCGUUCAGCAGCCUCAGGUGUGGCACCUUAUCAAAUGCCUCCCGAAAAUCCAAGUAAAUGACAUCCACUGCCUCUCCUAUGUCCAGACUGCGUGUUACUUCCUCAAAGAACUCCAAAAGAUUUGUCAGGCAAGAUUUCCCUUUACAGAAACUAUGCUGACUUUGACUUAUUUUAUCAUUGGUCUCCAAGUACCUCAAAACCUUAUCCUUAAUGAUAGACUCCAACACUUCCCCAACCACUGAGGUUAGGUUAACUGGCCAGUAAUUUCCUUUCCUUUGCUUUCCUCCCUUAUUAAAGAGAGGCUCAGCUCGACAUAGUCCGGCAGACGGUUUUGUAAGAUAACUUCCUCUGGAAGCAAUCAGGAGCAUUUUAUUAAAUUAAAGGUGGUGCGUAAAUGCAAGCUAUGUAAAUUGCUAUGGAAAUGCAAGGUAUGGAAAUACAGGGUAUGUAAAUACAGGGUAUGUAAACGCAGGGUAUGUAAACGCAGGGUAUAUGGGUACUGGCUUGUUGCCAGUUUUGGAUUCUUACUGCAUUGGAACAUCACGGUUUGAAUUAGUUCCCUUAAGUGUGCAGGUCAAUGACCAGAACUGUUGCUUGGAAGCUUAGUUAUUGUCAUCUGUGGGUUGAUGGGUGACACCACUGCCUCUAAGCUGGAGGGCUUCGCAAUGACACCCCGCCCCCCCUGCCGAGUCCAAAAGGCCAGAAGAUACAUAAGAAUUAUGCCACUGGUCCCAUCAGGUCUGCUCUGCCGUUCCAUCAUAGCUGAUUUAUUAUAUUAUCCCUCUCAACCCCAUUCUCCUGCCCUCUUCCGAUAACCUUUGAUGUACCGACAAAUGAAGAACCUAUUAGCCUCCGCCUUAAAUAUAUCCAGUGGCUUGGCAUCCACACCUGUCUGUGGCAAUGACUCACCACCCUCUUGCUAAAGAAAUUCCUCCUCAUCUCCGUGCCAAAGAGGAUUCCUUGUAUUCUGAGGCUGUGACUUCUCCCACCACAGCAAACAUCCUCUCCACUUCCACUCUGCCGUAGGUCUCUGUUGAUCCGGGCCAGGUGUUGUGCCGUAGCUGUCCAGAUACACAAGCCAUGGAAAGCAAGCUGUUGCCCAUGUAGCAAGCUCCCACUCACGUGUCUGAUGAACCCAAAGAGACAGUACAGACCAAUACAGUUUGGCACCAGUGACAUCACAGGAACUGACCAUCAACGUUGAAUUCAGUGUAGGACCACCUUAAGGACCCUAGCUCAGGAUAUUCCCUAGGGGUUUACUCCCAGAGCCUUCCUCA